rnacentral:rRNA from 1 species
AGCAACCGCGGUAAUUCCAGCUCCAAUAGCGUAUAUUUAAGUUGUUGCAGUUAAAAAGCCGUAGUUGCCAAGGAUGUUUUCAUUAAUCAAGAACGAAAGUUGGGAGCUCGAAGACGAUAGAUACCGUCCUAGUCUCAACCAUAAACGAUGCCGACCAGGGAUCGGCGGAUGUUGCUUUAGGACUCCGCCGGCACCCUAUGGGAAACCAAAGCU